GGGCCCGCACAAGCAGUGGAGUAUGUGGUUUAAUUCGAAGCAACCCGAAGAACCUUACCAGGUCUUGACAUCUAUGUGAUGCUUAAGAGAUUAGGCAGUGCCCUUUAGGGGGAAACAUGAGACAGGUGGUGCAUGGUUGUCGUCAGCUCGUGUCGUGAGAUGUUGGGUUAAGUCCCGCAACGAGCGCAACCCUUGCGACUAGUUACUACGAAAGAGGACUCUAGUAGGACUGCCGUUGAGAAACGGAGGAAGGUGGGGAUGAUGUCAAAUCAUCAUGCCCUUUAUGACCUGGGCUACACACGUACUACAAUGGCCACGACAGAAGGAAGCGAACCAGCGAUGGGGAGCAAAGCGCAAAAAGUGGUCACAGUUCGGAUUGUAGGCUGCAACUCGCCUACAUAAAGAUGGAAUUGCUAGUAAUCGCAGAUCAGAAAGCUG
rnacentral:rRNA from 1 species